AGUCCUUGCACCCAACCCAGGGUGGGGUGGGUGAGGCUCCCAGCAGCCUACUCUAAAGCCCCUUAUCUCUGGCCUCCAGUGCUUAUCACAUUGGGCCCACAGGGUGAGGACCCUGCUGUGCCAGGCAUCCUGAGGCCCCAACUCUGUCUCCCCUACUCCCAGGAUCAACACCCCCCGGAAAGAGGGAGGCUUGGGCCCCCUGAACAUCCCCCUGCUUGCUGACGUGACCAGACGCUUGUCUGAGGAUUACGGCGUGCUGAAAACAGAUGAGGGCAUUGCCUACAGGGGCCUCUUUAUCAUCGAUGGCAAGGGUGUCCUUCGCCAGAUCACUGUUAAUGAUUUGCCUGUGGGACGCUCCGUGGAUGAGGCUCUGCGGCUGGUCCAGGCCUUCCAGUACACAGACGAGCAUGGGG
rnacentral:sRNA from 1 species